rnacentral:misc_RNA from 1 species
UCCGGUUUGACACCGGCAGUCUCCCUAGAGUUCCCAACUUAAUGGUGGCAACAAGGGACAGGGGUUGCGCUCGUUGCGGGUCUUAACCCAACAUCUCACGACACGAGCUGACGACAGCCAUGCAGCACCUCGACUCUAUUCCCUUGCGGGAUAUCUGUGUUUCCACAAACGUUAAAAAGCCGUUCGAGCCCAGGUAAGGUUCUUCGCGUUGCGUCGAAUUGAACCACAUGCUCCACCGCUUGUGCGGGCCCCCGUCAAUUCCUUUGAGUUUCAGCCUUGCGGCCGUACUCCCCAGGCGGAGUGCUUAAUGCGUUUACUGCAGCACUAAAGGGCGGAAACCCUCUAACACUUAGCACUCAUCGUUUACGGCGUGGACUAC